GUCUAUGGCCAUGCCACCCCGAACAAACCCGAUCCCACCUGAUCUCGAAAGCUAAGCAAGGUCGGGCCUGGUUAGUACUUGGAUGGGAGACCACCUAGGAAAUGCAGGUGCUGUAGGCG
rfam:Pteropus alecto contig4961, whole genome shotgun sequence.